rnacentral:lncRNA from 1 species
GGAAGGAUGGUGGCGGGGGGGGGGGAAGAGACGCUGUCCCGCCUGCCUGCUGCUGCCCCCGGCCUGAAAGAAGGAGAAAAGGGCCACCAUUGGAGGGGGGGGUGGGGUGGGGGUUGGUGAUGUGUGCUUUUCACCGCCAAAAUGUGGACCAGCCCGGCGAGGUCAGAGGUCCCGGACCGCAGGAGACCGAGGUAAUGAUGAUGUCAUGAGAAAUCUCAAGUGCACGCGGCUUAAUUGAUACGCACGAGCCCCGUCUCGCCUCCGAGCAUCCGCCGCUCCCGGAUUUUACCUCCCUCCUCGCCAGCGCAGGGACCGCUCUGACCUCCGCGGGGACGGAAAGGAAAACAACAACCCACCCUCGCUACGGCGGGAUAAAAGCCCCUUUCCCCGAGAGCGGGGAAAGCGCCGCUCCGCCGCAGCGGAGAGCUCCGACCGCGGGCCUUGCCGGCCGGGAGCAGCGCUGCGCUGUGCUGCCGGUUCGCUCUCGCCGUUGCUGUAUGCCGUGUGUUGGGAGGGGGUCAUAGCUCCGCGCCCCGGCCUUGUUUUGCGUCUACAGGGAUGGAUCCGCAGGUCUCCAGAUGGCUGUGAUGUAAAGAACAUCCUGCGUGAAUUUCUUAGGAGUAAACAGUCCCUAUUGACUUCAAAGAGGAAUGCCUAUGAUUCUCGGAUUAUUGCAAUCAGAGCCCCCUCCUAAUGCCAACAUCAUCACCUUCCAUGGGGAAGACACACAGGAGUCCCCCUUCAGCUGCUGGGAGUUACAUAGGCAGGGCAUAGCAUUACAUAAACCCCCUUUUUGCACCAAUUUAUGGCAGAACUCAUGUAGAUGCAAACCACGGCACUCCAGUACAGCCCAGGCCAGCUUUCCCUGCAGAGCAUCCCUUUCCUCCUCCCAGCCAGAUUAUACUCCUGUUAUGUCGAACGUACGGUAUGCAAAGGGACAUCUACUACAAGUCCAAACUAUUACAAGAGAACAGACAGACUGAAGAAUGCAAAGCCGGGGGGGUGGGGAGGGGGGGGGGCGGGGCGGGAAGAGGGGAGCGGAGGGAGAAGUAUUAAAACCACCAACAGUCAGUCAAUACACAUGGAAACACUGCAUGCUGCCAAAGAACAUUUACCUGUAGGUAAAGCAUACAGUAGCGUCAGACUUCUAUUAAACAACAAAAA